rnacentral:rRNA from 1 species
UUCCGGUUGAUCCCGCCGGAGGUUACUGCUAUCGAGGUUCGACUAAGCCAUGCGAGUCGAAUGUAGCAAUACAUGGCGAACUGCUCAGUAACACGUGGACAACCUGCCCUUAGGACGGGGAUAAACCCGGGAAACUGGGUAUAAUACCCGAUAGGUCUCGAUUGCUGGAAUGCAUCGAGAUUUAAAGCUCCGGCGCCUAAGGAUGGGUCUGCGGCCUAUCAGGUAGUAGUGGGUGUAGCGUACCUACUAGCCUACGACGGGUACGGGUUGUGAGAGCAAGAGCCCGGAGAUGGAUUCUGAGACACGAAUCCAGGCCCUACGGGGUGCAGCAGGCGCGAAAACUUUACAAUGCUGGCAACAGCGAUAAGGGAACCUCGAGUGCCAGGUUACAAAUCUGGCUGUCGAGAUGCCUAAAAAGCAUUUCAUAGCAAGGGCCGGGCAAGACCGGUGCCAGCCGCCGCGGUAACACCGGCGGCUCGAGUGGUAACCGUUAUUAUUGGGUCUAAAGGGUCUGUAGCCGGCCGGAUAAGUCUCUUGAGAAAUCUGGCAGCUUAACUGUCAGGCUUUCAGGAGAUACUGUCUGGCUCGAGGCCGGGAGAGGUGAGAGGUACUUCAGGGGUAGGGGUGAAAUCUUGUAAUCCUUGAAGGACCACCAGUGGCGAAGGCGUCUCACCAGAACGGACCUGACGGCAAGGGACGAAAGCUAGGGGCACGAACCGGAUUAGAUACCCGGGUAGUCCUAGCCGUAAACGAUACUCGCUAGGUGUCGGCCACGGUGCGACCGUUGUCGGUGCCGUAGGGAGGCCGUGAAGCGAGCCACCUGGGAAGUACGGCCGCAAGGCUGAAACUUAAAGGAAUUGGCGGGGGAGCACCACAACGGGUGGAGCUUGCGGUUUAAUUGGAUUCAACGCCAGG